ensembl:lncRNA
AUCAGCCCCCAGGUCAGAGGCAGGUUCCCUCUAUCCAGGACCUCCAGCUUCAGGCAUUGAUAGAAACCUGGCCCACCCUUCCCUAAUCAGUAGGCUCAUCUGGAUGUAUAAACAAGAAAGGAGGCCUGAAGGCCCUGGAGAUCCUCAACCUGUUCUGGUCUUCAAGAGACAAACACUCCUGGGGUGUCACAGGAUUCGGAUAUACUUCUGAGACCAUGGAGAAGGCAGCCAGAUAGAAUCAGGACCUCCUGGGAGCUGGUCUCUUUGUAGGGCCUUCCUCUUUGGCUGAUUUUUCUCCAGAGGCCAAAUUGCCUCCUCUCCUUCCCUUCAUCCUCUUUCUCCUCCCUUUCUUUUUCUUUCUCCUGGCAUUCGCCAAGGCAUUGGCCUCUAUUCCCUCACCUAAAUUUCUAUUGAGACACUUCGCUGGCAGCUCCCACAUUUAUGUGCAACUUGGAACCGUCUCUGGGGCUACAGGCACAGGUACCUGAUCAACAGCUCUACAUUUUCUCCUGUUCAAAUCUACUCCCCACUCCCUUUUCCAACAGCAGCAGCACCCUGGGCUCCCUAGUGGAGGCUGGACAGUUGGAUAAACCUGGGGGAUUCUGUUUUGGCUUCAGUGGGAUGUGGGAGUUAUCAAAAUUGGCUCAGAUCCUUAAAGGACCAUAAAGACGUGUAAUAGAAGUGAGAAGAGAAGGGUGUCUGGGCUUUCAAACCCUUGAGGUUCCGAUCAGAAGAUCCUGACCAUCAGCGAUUUUGUGACUGGAAGUGGGUAAGGAUUGGGUUGGUGAGGUUGGGGUAACUAGUAGCUCGUAGAAGUUGGGGACUCAGAACCUUCUUAUUCUUUACAACAAGCAGGCCUGGAAGUUGGAAGCCUGUGUUCUCAUGAUGGGCCUGGCAUUGGCUCUGCUGUGGUUCUCUGGGUCUCAUUCUGCUCAUCUGUAUAACAGGAUAUGGACGUGGAUACAAUGAUCUUAAAGGAUUCUGGAUCUUAGCAGACCAGGCCACAAAGGUUUUGUUUUCGUUUUUAGAGCUGAGUGUUUGGCUUUUCAUAGGCUUUUGUUUAUUUGUAAUGCCGGGAAUUGAACCCAGGGCCUCAUAACAUACAUGCUAGACCCGCUCUUGCCAUACACCCUCAGAACCAAGCCAGUGCUAUUAACUCCCAUCCCUACAGAGGCCUGACUGGUACUGCUCACAUGCAAUAAUUAACAGCUGAGUGGCCUUCGCCCAAUCUCAGCCUCCAUUCCUGGGCUCCAUUCCCAUUGCCUGCCCCGUCGCCUAGGCCACUAAACCUCAGCAGUCUCUUGGAAUAAAACCAAAGGAAUCUAGAGCACAGCCGAAGCCUGAGCCAGUCUGAGAGCUGCCUCCAUCCCCAGGUAUGCCAUCUGACACUUCUCAAAUGGGACCGUAUACUCUAAGGUACCCCCAGUAUGUGUUAAAGAAUUUGCUUAAUUGGAAAGGCCUUCUAUAUGCCCAAAGCCAGAGAAUCCCAGGGGUGGAAACUGAGGCUCAGAUCAGAGCGCAGCCCGCCUAUGGUUAAAAUGUGAGGUAGGAGUAUUGUUUGUCUUUUAACCAGCACUUAAGGCUUCUGCCCUUCAGCCAAAUGCUGAGCUCUUAGCUCUUCUAGUCUGGGGCCCCUAAGUGUAUGGCCUGGUAACAGCAGGGGCGGUGUCACAGGUGGACUAAGAUCUGAACAUGUGACUAGGAAAAUGGUGAUGAGAUUGCAGAAUGCAACUCACAGGGAGACAGAGAAUACUGGCUAAAGGGAGUUAAAAAGAAAAAAAGAGACCACUGAGUGGAAAAGAUCCAAGGAGGCGGGGCUAGAGGGACUCAGGAGGAACUUGGGACAUUUUAGCAAUUUGGAGCAUUUUUCAGGGGGAAGGGUUUGGAGAAGGGUCAGACUUGGGAUUUGAAGACACGUCUGGUGCUCCAACCGAACUGUUUACCUGGCCUGGACUUGGAGAUCAGAGUAAGUGGAUUAGAAGAAGCAUGGCCAAGUCCUGGAGUGAGUGAUUUAAGAGAGAGAAUGAAUGGGCAGACAUUGGGAUAAAUAGAUGACUGCUUGGGUCUGGUGGUGUGAGCCUGUAAUCCUAUCGGCUCUGGAGGCUGAGGCAAGAAAAUUAACAGUUCAAGGGCUGGCCCAUAGAACGAGUUCAAGAUUAGUCUGGGUGAUUUAAUAAGACUCUGUCUCAAAAUACAAAGUGAGCCAGGUGGAGGUGGCGCAUGGCUUUAGAUCCAGCACUCUUUAAACCCAGCACUUGGGAGGCAGAGGCGGGUGGAUUCCUGUGAGUUUGAGGCCAGCUUGGUCUAGAGCAAGUUCCAGGAUAGCCAGGGCAGCUAUAAAGAGAAACCCUGUCUCGAAAA